CUUUUGAGGAGUUUUUCAGCUCUGUAAUAUUUCAUUUUGUUUAAAUAAAAUUUCGUUCUCGGACGAUUUCUCUCAAAAAAAAAAAAAAAGUAAUUGGUUUUGAUUUUAAAGUCAGAGAGUAUCACUAAUUGACUCAAAUCAAAUAAAUUAAAAAAUUAGAUAGUAAAAUAAAAAUUUUAAAGUUUGGAUAGCCAACUCAAAAUGGUUGAUCGCUAAGAUAAAUUUCGUACGUACCUACAUUUUCUAGUAAAUUUUUAAUUGCUAGCUAA
rnacentral:lncRNA from 1 species